GAAAAGAAACCAACAGGGAUUGCCUCAGUAACGGCGAGUGAAGCGGCAAAAGCUCAAAUUUGAAAUCUAGCACCUUCGGUGUUCGAGUUGUAAUUUGAAGAUGGUAACCUUGGGUUUGGCUCUUGUCUAUGUUCCUUGGAACAGGACGUCAUAGAGGGUGAGAAUCCCGUCUGAUGAGAUGCCCAUUCCUAUGUAAGGUGCUAUCGAAGAGUCGAGUUGUUUGGGAAUGCAGCUCUAAGUGGGUGGUAAAUUCCAUCUAAAGCUAAAUAUUGGCGAGAGACCGAUAGCGAACAAGUACAGUGAUGGAAAGAUGAAAAGAACUUUGAAAAGAGAGUGAAAAAGUACGUGAAAUUGUUGAAAGGGAAGGGCAUUAGAUCAGACUUGGUGUUUUACGAUUAUCUUCUCUUCUUGAGUUGUGCACUCGUAUUUCACUGGGCCAGCAUCGAUUCGGAUGGCAAGAUAAUGGCAGUUGAAUGUGGCUUCACUUCGGUGGAGUGUUAUAGCUUCUGCUGAUAUUGCCUGUCUGGAUCGAGGGCUGCGUCUUU
rnacentral:rRNA from 1 species